GCAACCUGAAGCUGGCGGCCGAGUACCCCAGCGUGUUCCGCUCGCUGCUGGGGAUUUCGUGGAUGUGGUUCUUUGGCGCGGUCUUCCUGUCGCAGUUCCCUGCGUUCGCCAAGGAGGUGCUG
rnacentral:ncRNA from 18 species